rnacentral:rRNA from 1 species
GGCCCGCACAAGCGGUGGAGCAUGUGGUUUAAUUCGAAGCAACGCGAAGAACCUUACCAGGUCUUGACAUCCUUUGACCACUCUGGAGACAGAGCUUUCCCUUCGGGGACAAAGUGACAGGUGGUGCAUGGUUGUCGUCAGCUCGUGUCGUGAGAUGUUGGGUUAAGUCCCGCAACGAGCGCAACCCUUGAUUUUAGUUGCCAGCAUUUAGUUGGGCACUCUAAAGUGACUGCCGGUGCAAGCCGGAGGAAGGUGGGGAUGACGUCAAAUCAUCAUGCCCCUUAUGACCUGGGCUACACACGUGCUACAAUGGAUAGUACAAAGGGUCGCGAAGCCGCGAGGUGGAGCUAAUCCCAUAAAACUAUUCUCAGUUCGGAUUGUAGGCUGCAACUCGCCUACAUGAAGCCGGAAUCGCUAGUAAUCGUGGAUCAGCAUGCCACGGUGAAUACGUUCCCGGGCCUUGUACACACCGCCCGUCACACCACGAGAGUUUGUAACACCCGAAGUCGGUAGGGUAACCUUUAUGGAGCCAGCCGCCGAAGGUGGGACAGAUAAUUGGGGUGAAGUCGUAACAAGGUAGCCGUAUCGGAAGGUGCGGCUGGAUCACCUCCUUU